rnacentral:rRNA from 1 species
AACGAACGCUGGCGGCAUGCCUAACACAUGCAAGUCGAACGAGACCUUCGGGUCUAGUGGCGCACGGGUGCGUAACGCGUGGGAAUCUGCCCUUGGGUUCGGAAUAACAGUUAGAAAUGACUGCUAAUACCGGAUGAUGUCGAAAGACCAAAGAUUUAUCGGCAAAGGAUGAGCCCGCGUAGGAUUAGGUAGUUGGUGGGGUAAAGGCCUACCAAGCCGACGAUCCAUAGCUGGUCUGAGAGGAUGAUCAGCCACACUGGCACUGAGACACGGCCCAGACUCCUACGGGAGGCAGAAGUGGGGAAUAUUGGACAAUGGGCGAAAGCCUGAUCCAGCAAUGCCGCGUGAGUGAUGAAGGCCUUAGGAUUGUAAAGCUCUUUUACCCGGGAUGAUAAUGACAGUACCGGGAGAAUAAGCUCCGGCUAACUCCGUGCCAGCCGCCGCCGUAAUAC